CCUACGGGAGGCAGCAGUGAGGAAUAUUGGUCAAUGGACGCAAGUCUGAACCAGCCAUGUCGCGUGCAGGAAGACGGCUCUAUGAGUUGUAAACUGCUUUUGUACGAGGGUAAACGCAGAUACGCGUAUCUUUCUGAAAGUAUCGUACGAAUAAGGAUCGGCUAACUCCGUGCCAGCAGCCGCGGUAAUACGGAGGAUCCAAGCGUUAUCCGGAUUUAUUGGGUUUAAAGGGUGCGUAGGCGGUCGGAUAAGUUAGAGGUGAAAUCCCGAGGCUCAACUUCGGAAUUGCCUCUGAUACUGGUAGGCUAGAGAAUAGUUGCGGUAGGCGGAAGGUGUGGUGUAGCGGUGAAAUGCUUAGAGAUCAUACAGAACACCGAUUGCGAAGGCAGCUUACCAAGCUACUUCUGACAUUGAGGCGCGAAAGCGUGGGGAGCAAACAGGAUUAGAUACCCUAGUAGUC
rnacentral:rRNA from 1 species